AUGCCAGCAAGUUUGGAAAACUCAGCAGCGGCCACAAGUCUAAGGUCAGUUUUCAUUCCAAUCCUAAAGAAAGGCAAUGACAAAGAAUGCUCAGACUACCUCACAAUUGCACUCAUCUCACAUGCUAGUAAAGUAAUGCUCAAAAUUCUCCAAGCCAGGCUUCAGCAAUGCAUGAACUGUGAACUUCCUGAUGUUCAAGCUGGUUUUAGAAAAGGCAGAGGAACCAGAGAUCAAAUUGCCAACAUCCGCUGGAUCAUGGAAAAAGCAAGAGAGUUCCAGAAAAACAUCUAUUUCUGCUUUAUUGACUAUGCCAAAGCCUUUGACUGUGUGGAUCACUAUAAACUGUGGAAAAUUCUGAAAGAGGUGGGGAUACCAGACCACCUGACCUGUCUCUUGAGAAAUCUGUAUGCAGGUCAGGAAGCAACAGUUAGGACUGGACAUGGAACAACAGAUUGGUUUCAAAUAGGAAAAAGAGUAUGUCAAGGCUAUAUAUUGUCACCCUGCUUAUUUAACUUCUGUGCAGAGGACAUCAUGAGAAACGCUGGACUGGAAGAAGCACAAGCUGGAAUCAAGAUUGCUGGGAGAAAUAUCAAUAACCUCAGAUAUGCAGAUGACACCACCCUUAUGGCAGAAAGUGAAGAGGAACUCAAAAACCUCUUGAUGAAAGUGAAAGAAGAGAGUGAAAAAGUUGGCUUAAAGCUCAACAUUCAGAAAACGAAGAUCAUGGCAUCUGGUCCCACCACUUCAUGGCAAAUAGAUGGGGAAACAGUGGAAACAGUGUCAGACUUUAUUUUGCGGGGCUCCAAAAUCACUGCAGAUGGUGACUACAGCCAUGAAAUUAAAAGACGCUUACUCCUUGGAAGAAAAGUUAUGACCAACCUAGAUAGCAUAUUCAAAAGCAGAGACAUUACUUUGCUGACUAAGGUCCGUCUAGUCAAGGCUAUGGUUUUUCCUGUGGUCAUGUAUGGAUGUGAGAGUUGGACUGUGAAGAAGGCUGAGUGCCGAAGAAUUGAUGCUUUUGAACUGUGGCGUUGGAGAAGACUCUUGAGAGUCCCUUGGACUGCGAGGAGAUCCAACCAGUCCAUUCUGAAGGAGAUCAGCCCUGGGAUUUCUUGGGAAAUUACGAUGCUAACGCUGAAACUCCAGUACUUUGGCCACCUCAUGUGA
rnacentral:lncRNA from 1 species